rnacentral:rRNA from 1 species
AGCGAACGCUGGCGGCAGGCCUAACACAUGCAAGUCGAACGAACUCUUCGGAGUUAGUGGCGGACGGGUGAGUAACACGUGGGAACGUGCCUUUUGGUUCGGAAUAACUCAGGGAAACUUGUGCUAAUACCGAAUGUGCCCUUCGGGGGAAAGAUUUAUCGCCAUUAGAGCGGCCCGCGUCUGAUUAGCUAGUUGGUGAGGUAACGGCUCACCAAGGCGACGAUCAGUAGCUGGUCUGAGAGGAUGACCAGCCACACUGGGACUGAGACACGGCCCAGACUCCUACGGGAGGCAGCAGUGGGGAAUCUUGCGCAAUGGGCGAAAGCCUGACGCAGCCAUGCCGCGUGAAUGAUGAAGGUCUUAGGAUUGUAAAAUUCCUUCACCGGGGACGAUAAGGACGGUACCCGGAGAAGAAGCCCCGGCUAACUUCGU